rnacentral:rRNA from 1 species
CUCAAUUUUAUCUGAUUUUAGAAGGUAAGUAGAACCAGGUUUGGUUAGUUCUUGGAUGGGAGACCACUAAGGAAUGCCAGGAAUCUCUGAGC